CUCUCCCACCCUCUUUCUCUGUCUCCCUCCCUCUCUCUCUCUCCCUUCCUUUCUCUCUCUCCCUCUCUCAUUCUCCCUCCCUCUCUCUCUCUCCCUCUAUCUCUUCCCCUCUCCCUCCCUCUCUCCCUCUCUUUCUCUCUCUCUCUCACUCCCUCUCUCCCUUCCUUCUCCUCUCCCUCCUUCCCACCUUUCCUCCCUCUCUCUCAGCUGCUGUGGUUUGGAGGAGCCUGGACCCUUCCACCUCCCUGCGGGCAUGUCCUCAGGGCUAGCCAAUCAGAGCGUCCAUCCUUCUGGCCAUGUGACUGGCCCAGAGAUGGUCCAGUACAGGCGACAGCACCACCUGAGAUGGGAUGAGGCAUGCGGACUUUAGUCUCCCAGGACCUGGAGGAUGGGGAGGAAGGCCCAAGCUCCAUCCAACACGGAAAUGCGUGCCCUGUGGUGGCCCUUCGGUUUCCAAGGGAGUCCGGUGUUGCCUGCAGAAGCAUCUUGUGAGUUGUGGGACGGGCAUGGAAGGCCAGGCAUGGGAAUGAAGUGUGAAGACCCAGACUUCCUGACUUCCAGACCCAGGUCAGCCUCCUGCCUCUUCUCCUGCUGAAUCUUUCUGAUCCUGUGGUUUCUCCUCCGUGAAAUGGGGAUGCUGAUGGUUCCAUAGUCAAAGUCCUGUGCUGAUUCAUUGCAACGAUGACUGUUUAGCCCCAGCUGCAGUCUGGGCUUCGCUGCUCCUUCUUCAAGGUGGAAAUGACUAUCUCAGCCCUUCGUCCCUCCCAGCUCAAGCACAAGAAAGACCGACGAGGGAUUGAUUCCAGCCUCAAGUUCUCAAAUGGGAGGAUGCGGUUGGCUCAGCCUAGCACAGACCAUGGAAACUCCUGUAGCCACUGCACCUCCAGCUCUAACUCAGCCUGAGCCUGGCACAAGGAGCAGCUGUUGGAGCAAAGCAGCCAUCACCAGUCCUCCGGGGAAGCUUCCGUGUAGCUUCCAGCUUCCAGCAUUGGAGAGCUCACCACCUUGCAAGCCGCCCUUCCCCAGCUCCAGCGUAUGCUGAAUCCAGUCUGGAGCCCUCAGAGCAAGCCCAG
rnacentral:lncRNA from 10 species